CCUACGGGAGGCAGCAGUGGGGGAUAUUGCACAAUGGGCGGAAGCCUGAUGCAGCAACGCCGCGUGGGGGAAGGAGGGUUUCGGCUCGUAAACUUCUAUCAGCAGGGAAGAAAAUGACGGUACCUGACUAAGAAGCCCCGGCUAACUACGUGCCAGCAGCCGCGGUAAUACGUAGGGGGCAAGCGUUAUCCGGAUUUACUGGGUGUAAAGGGGGCGUAGGCGGUUUAGCAAGUCAGAAGUGAAAGCCCGGGGCUCAACUCCGGGACUGCUUUUGAAACUGUUGAACUAGAUUGCAGGAGAGGUAAGUGGAAUUCCUAGUGUAGCGGUGAAAUGCGUAGAUAUUAGGAGGAACACCAGUGGCGAAGGCGGCUUACUGGACUGUAAAUGACGCUGAGGCUCGAAAGCGUGGGGAGCAAACAGGAUUAGAUACCCGGGUAGUC
rnacentral:rRNA from 1 species